AAGAGGAGAAGUAGAGCAGGAGGGAGGGCAAUUAGGACUAUGACAAAGAAGACAAGGCCUAACAGAACACCUAAGACAGUGAUCACUAUUAAUAGAAGGAAGACUUCCACAACACCUGUGCUAGAGAAAGAAUUAUGCACUUCAGAGGAAAGACAGGUGCAGAGGAAGGGGAAGGGAUAGAGAAGUGAAAGUGAAAGCAAAGAAGUCACAGAUAGGAGAGGACAGAGAGGAAGAAGAGAGAGUGAUGGAAGGGAGAGAGAGGAGUGAGAGUUGCAGAGAUAUCUGGUUGACUGUGAGUCUACUUUUUCUGUUUUCAGAACUGGAAUUUUCACAUUGACAUCCUAUGGGUUAAAAGAAAUUUCAUGUUGCCCCAAGAGGGGCUUCCAUCCCCAUAAACAGGACUCAGCUCUCUUCUGCGACUAUUUCCCAAGUGACUCUGGAAAAUUGAUGGCAAAGAUACAUGGGGAGACAUUGACUCUGACCAUGAGGAGAACUAGGUGGGAUUGUUGGGAGCCAUAUCUUUUGACAGUGUUUCUAAUGCAUCAGGAUUUCACCUCUAGGCUGAGAACUAUCUGGCUGCAGUGAGCAUCUUUAUUCAGAGACUUACUGCUGG
rnacentral:lncRNA from 1 species